rnacentral:rRNA from 1 species
UACGUAGGGUGCGAGCGUUGUCCGGAAUUACUGGGCGUAAAGAGCUCGUAGGUGGUUUGUCGCGUUGUUCGUGAAAACUCACAACUCAAUUGUGGGCGUGCGGGCGAUACGGGCAGACUGGAGUACUGCAGGGGAGACUGGAAUUCCUGGUGUAGCGGUGGAAUGCGCAGAGAUCAGGAGGAACACCGGUGGCGAAGGCGGGUCUCUGGGCAGUAACUGACGCUGAGGAGCGAAAGCGUGGGGAGCGAACAGG